rnacentral:rRNA from 1 species
UACGUAGGGUGCGAGCGUUAAUCGGAAUUACUGGGCGUAAAGCGUGCGCAGGCGGCUUUGCAAGACAGAUGUGAAAUCCCCGGGCUCAACCUGGGAACUGCAUUUGUGACUGUAUAGCUAGAGUACGGUAGAGGGGGAUGGAAUUCCGCGUGUAGCAGUGAAAUGCGUAGAUAUGCGGAGGAACACCGAUGGCGAAGGCAAUCCCCUGGACCUGUACUGACGCUCAUGCACGAAAGCGUGGUGAGCAAACAGG